GAACCGUCCAAACGUUAUUCGGAAUCAUUGGGCUUAAAGGGUGCGUAGGCGGUGCGGUCAGUUGGGUGUGAAAUCCCUCGGCUCAACCGAGGAACUGCGCCCAAUACUGCCGUACUCGAGGGAGACAGAGGUAAGCGGAACUGAUGGUGGAGCGGUGAAAUGCGUUGAUAUCAUCAGGAACACCUGUGGCGAAAGCGGCUUACUGGGUCUCUUCUGACGCUGAGGCACGAAAGCUAGGGGAGCGAACGGGGGAUUAGAUACCCCGGUAGUCCUAGCUGUAAACGAUGAGCACUUGAUCGGAGACUCCUCCAUAGGUUUCCGGUCGUAGCGAAAGUGUUAAGUGCUCCGCCUGGGGAGUAUGGUCGCAAGGCUG
rnacentral:rRNA from 1 species